GGCGAACGGGUGAGUAACACGUGAGCAACCUACCCUUGACUCUGGGAUAACAGUUGGAAACAGCUGCUAAUACCGGAUACGACCUCGAUGGGCAUCCGUUGAGGUGGAAAGCUCCGACGGUCAAGGAUGAGCUCGCGGCCUAUCAGCUUGUUGGUGGGGUAAUGGCCUACCAAGGCGACGACGGGUAGCCGGCCUGAGAGGGCGACCGGCCACACUGGGACUGAGAUACGGCCCAGACUCCUACGGGAGGCAGCAGUGGGGAAUAUUGCGCAAUGGGCGAAAGCCUGACGCAGCAACGCCGCGUGCGGGAUGAAGGCCUUCGGGUUGUAAACCGCUUUCAGCAGGGACGAAGGUUUUCUGACGGUACCUGCAGAAGAAGCACCGGCUAACUACGUGCCAGCAGCCGCGGUGAUACGUAGGGUGCGAGCGUUGUCCGGAAUUAUUGGGCGUAAAGAGCUUGUAGGCGGUCUGUUGCGUCGGAAGUGAAAACUCAGGGCUUAACCCUGAGCCUGCUUUCGAUACGGGCAGACUUGAGGGAUGUAGGGGAGAACGGAAUUCCUGGUGGAGCGGUGGAAUGCGCAGAUAUCAGGAGGAACACCAGUGGCGAAGGCGGUUCUCUGGACAUUUCCUGACGCUGAGAAGCGAAAGCGUGGGGAGCAAACAGGCUUAGAUACCCUGGUAGUCCACGCCGUAAACGGUGGGCACUAGGUGUGGGAUCCUUCCACGGAUUCCGUGCCGUAGCUAACGCAUUAAGUGCCCCGCCUGGGGAGUACGGCCGCAAGGCUAAAACUCAAGGAAUUGA
rnacentral:rRNA from 1 species